UCAAUUCACUUGAUUGAAAAAUGGCCAAAUCAAUAAAACACUGGAUGCAUGAGAAAGGGCAUAUUUGAUGAAAUCUUAAUAUGGCAGCGUGAUUGGUCUAUAUUUGCAGUCUGUAUACUUCCUCUGACAUUGUUAAGAGCUCUCUGAAAAUUUUACUAUUCAGACAAACCAGGGAAUCACAAACCUCUUGUGGUCAACAGUGUACGUUACAAAGUGUUCCAUACUAAUUACUGACAAAGAAGCUUAAUCUAAAUUUGCCAAUUUGCUUUUCCUGAUAAUGACCAUUCUAUAUAUUUUUUUAGGACUACUCAUGGUCGCCGGUCGGUGUUGAAAUUUAAUCCUCAGGCUGUUUUAUGUAAACAUAAAGGUAAUGUAGUGUUUCUUGUGCACAGAUUCAAAAGAAAGCAGGACCAUGUGCUGAAAACUACUGGUAAAGAUGUUAAUCUGCUCUUCGGGUCCAAAGCUGUUUGCUUGUAAGAACAAAACAUUUUAAAAGCCAUGAGAAUAGAAGUAGGUACUAGAUGUCAAGUGAAAUUGAUGGUAGUUUGGUGUAAGUGAGACUUUCAAUCUGUUUGCAGCCAAUACAUAAAAAAGCUAAAUUAAAUUGUCACAACAUGUCUAAAUAUUUCCCUACAGUAACUGAUAUAAUUCUUGUCUCCAAGGAAUUUUAUGAUUUGAUCCACAUUAAUAAGUACAUAUCUACUUACCCAAAAUUCACCAAAUGCUCUCUGUACAUGACAUACGUUAAAGAUUUGGCAUCACCUGCCUGUAGUUUUACCAACUACUAAACAGAUGAGUUAUAAAAUCAGGAAUGAACUGUUUUGUGUAGAUUUGACUGCUGAACCCAAUACAUCGAGCCUGGGUUUACAAAUGUUUAUGCACACCACAAGUUUCUAGGUCAAUGUUAUAUGUUUAAUAUUGAAGUUUAUAAUUAACUCUCUAAAUCGUUAUCUGCAUGUAAAGCUGGGAUACAGGUUACUGCUGGAGCCUGGAGUGCUGGUAUGCAUUAGCUAAAUAUAUAAACAUUGUUUUAAUGAACCUGUUAAUUAAUUACAAAAAGAUCCUUGAGCGCUGAAGUUCGUACACAGUGCAAAAGUUUUCUUGACAGCACUGAAGUUCCUUGAUAACAUAUAGUGAGGUCCACUAAUGAGACCAGACCUAUUUUGCCAAUGAGGUAAAUUUGAUUAACCAGCAAUACAUUCUCAGUUUAUGAUGUAUAUAAUAGUACAUAUUAGGACUUACUAAGAUUAAGUAAUAGAAGAAAUUUAAUUGCUUCUUUGGUUUCGCUAGAGAGUCUUAAAUAUUCUGGAGGUUUAAUUAUGCGACACAUGCAAAUAGGUACUUUAGAAAAGUUUGUCUGUUAAUUUGCAGUGCGCAAAAGAAAGUCUUCUUUCUGUAUUUGGUUAAAUUCAGUUAUUAUGUGCCCCUUUGUAUAUAGUUCAUCAGCACCAAUGAACCAUCACUCUAUCAGAUAUGAAAGAUCAGAAAAAAUGAAUGGACGCUAGUUGGGAACUCAAUCUAUUUGUAUCAAAAUUGAAACUUUUGAGUUUUGAUCGUUCACAACAAUAAACUUCAAUUAUUUAUUGAAAUUAAGAGUCAUGAGUUAGAGACUUCUAUUUGGUUUCUUCUUGUUAGAAGAAUGAAGAAAAUGUGCAGUGAGUGGAACAAAAAAAAGUGCUCUUUCUAGAUAUUUUAGCUGGAUGUCUUAGGACUACAAAAACGGCAUAUUACAGGAAAACUACAUCACAUGGCGGCGUGAUUGGUCGACAAGUUUGUAAUCCGUAUUCUUCUUCUUCCAAUUUUAAAGUGUCCCUUGCUACUGAAAAAGAAGCUUCAUCUGAAUUUUUAGUUUAUUGUCAGUAAUGCUAUUCCUCUUUGCCUGAUACUUGCCUUUCUUUACCUCUUCCUUGCGAUUUUGAUAAGUUUCUUAGGACUAAUUAUGGUUGUUUACUGGAAUUAAUGAUUAGGAGUGAGUUUCAGUUGACUUCUAUAGGUUUUGGCUGUAAUCUUGGUACAGAGAGGCUUUAUAAAUAUUCGAAUGCCACCAGUAAAAAAUGAAGUUGGCUGGUUUAUUGAUGCAAGUCUUUCUUGUGCAGAGACUCAAAGAAAGCAGGAGCAUGUGCUGAAAACUACCUGUAGAGUCAUUAGCCAGCACUUUUGGUCCAA
rnacentral:lncRNA from 1 species